GAUGAACGCUGGCGGCGUGCCUAAUACAUGCAAGUCGAGCGAACGGACGAGAAGCUUGCUUCUCUGAUGUUAGCGGCGGACGGGUGAGUAACACGUGGAUAACCUACCUAUAAGACUGGGAUAACUUCGGGAAACCGGAGCUAAUACCGGAUGAUAUUUUGAACCGCAUGGUUCAAAAGUGAAAGACGGUCUUGCUGUCACUUAUAGAUGGAUCCGCGCUGCAUUAGCUAGUUGGUAAGGUAACGGCUUACCAAGGCAACGAUGCAUAGCCGACCUGAGAGGGUGAUCGGCCACACUGGAACUGAGACACGGUCCAGACUCCUACGGGAGGCAGCAGUAGGGAAUCUUCCGCAAUGGGCGAAAGCCUGACGGAGCAACGCCGCGUGAGUGAUGAAGGUCUUCGGAUCGUAAAACUCUGUUAUUAGGGAAGAACAUAAGUGUAAGUAACUGUGCACAUCUUGACGGUACCUAAUCAGAAAGCCGCGGCUAACUACGUG
rnacentral:rRNA from 1 species